UGAGUAACCUGCCCUUGACUCUGGGAUAAGCCUGGGAAACCGGGUCUAAUACUGGAUACGACCUUCUGGCGCAUGCCAUGUUGGUGGAAAGCUAUUGUGGUUUUGGAUGGACUCGCGGCCUAUCAGCUUGUUGGUGAGGUAAUGGCUCACCAAGGCGACGACGGGUAGCCGGCCUGAGAGGGUGACCGGCCACACUGGGACUGAGACACGGCCCAGACCUCCUACGGGAGGNAG
rnacentral:rRNA from 1 species